AGGCAGAUCCAAGAGGCUUCCUAAGUCAGA
rnacentral:piRNA from 1 species